rnacentral:ncRNA from 30 species
ACCUGCGGAAGGAUCAUU